GACGAACGCUGGCGGCGUGCCUAAUACAUGCAAGUAGAACGCUGAAGGAGGAGCUUGCUUCUCUGGAUGAGUUGCGAACGGGUGAGUAACGCGUAGGUAACCUGCCUGGUAGCGGGGGAUAACUAUUGGAAACGAUAGCUAAUACCGCAUAAUAGCAGUUAUUGCAUGAUAACUGUUUGAAAGGUGCAAAUGCAUCACUGCCAGAUGGACCUGCGUUGUAUUAGCUAGUUGGUGGGGUAACGGCUCACCAAGGCGACGAUACAUAGCCGACCUGAGAGGGUGAUCGGCCACACUGGGACUGAGACACGGCCCAGACUCCUACGGGAGGCAGCAGUAGGGAAUCUUCGGCAAUGGACGGAAGUCUGACCGAGCAACGCCGCGUGAGUGAAGAAGGUUUUCGGAUCGUAAAGCUCUGUUGUAAGAGAAGAACGAGUGUGAGAGUGGAAAGUUCACACUGUGACGG
rnacentral:rRNA from 1 species